rnacentral:rRNA from 1 species
UGCCAGCAGCCGCGGUAAUACGGAGGUGGCGAGCGUUACUCGGAAUUAUUGGGUGUAAAGGGCAAGUAGGCGGUCUAUUAAGUGAGGGGUGAAAUCUUCCGGCUCAAUCGGGAAACUGCCUUUCAAACUGAUAGACUUGAGAUUGGAAGAGGGAAACGGAAUUAGCAGUGUAAGGGUGAAAUCUGUAGAUAUUGCUAAGAACACCAGCGGCGAAGGCGGUUUCCUGGUCCAAAUCUGACGCUAAAUUGCGAAAGCUAGGGUAGCGAACGGAAUUAGAUA